rnacentral:rRNA from 1 species
GUGCCUGCAGCCGCGGUAAUACCGGCAGCCCGAGUGAUGGCCGAUCUUAUUGGGCCUAAAGCGUCCGUAGCUGGCUGCGCAAGUCCGUCGGGAAAUCCACUGGCUCAACCAGUGGGCGUCCGGCGGAAACUGUGCGGCUUGGGACCGGAAGGCUCGAGAGGUACGUCCGGGGUAGGAGUGAAAUCCCGUAAUCCCGAACGGACCACCGAUGGCGAAAGCAUCUCGAGAAAACGGAUCCGACAGUGAGGGACGAAAGCUAGGGUCUCGAACCGGAUUAGAUACCCUAGUAGUCC